CGUGUAAAUACACCAUCAGGAUGCUUGUACUGUCAAGACAAAUUGGCGUUUUUUUUUAAACAAACACAAGACAGCCUGUUUGUAAAAACGAAAAAUACUUCAACACAAUAUUUGCUGAUAAAAAUAGCAAAUUCCACAAACUACUUUUGAACAACACUGAUGGAAAAAAUAUUUAUAAUUUGGCCUUGAAAUAGUUGAUGCUGUGCUGCAAAUUUAAGGAGAUCACAUAUGUCAAAAAUGCCUCCCAGAAUUUCGAUAGUCUGAACAGGUGAGGAUGUAGACUAUCAUAGAAGAUUUGUUUCGGAGAGAAGAAUCUUUUUUUACGCCGCUGAAAUGGUAAAGCAAUAAUUAGCAAACACAAUUUGAAGAAAGAAAUGAAGUACAUUAACGUCGAAGAGGUAUAUAUUUGCAAAAUUGGAAAGGCAAGAGCAAACUGCUUAGUACGUUGUCAUUGUAAUUUUAGACUUUCUCUAAAAAAAUCGGUUUCCGGACGUCGAGAAACUUCGUUAAAAAAAUGUUGUAUGAUUUGAUGCAUAAUAUCAGAAAAUUCUUAAGCCUAUGUAACACCACCGUGAGGCUGGCUACCAAAAA